GCUGGGUGUGGUGGCACACACCUGUAAUCCCAGCUACUCAGGAGGCUGAGGCAGGAGAAUCACUUGAGCCUGGGAGGCAGAGUUUGCAGUAAGCCAAGAUAGUGCCACUGCACUCCAGCCUGGGCAACAGAGUGAGACCCUGUCUCCA
rnacentral:SRP_RNA from 1 species